UGGGGAAUAUUGCACAAUGGGGGAAACCCUGAUGCAGCAACGCCGCGUGGGUGAAGAAGUAUUUCGGUAUGUAAAGCCCUAUCAGCAGGGAAGAAGAGAGACGGUACCUGACUAAGAAGCCCCGGCUAACUACGUGCCAGCAGCCGCGGUAAUACGUAGGGGGCAAGCGUUAUCCGGAUUUACUGGGUGUAAAGGGAGCGUAGACGGCUUGAUAAGUCUGAAGUGAAAGGCCAAGGCUUAACCAUGGAACUGCUUUGGAAACUAUGAGGCUAGAGUGCUGGAGAGGUAAGCGGAAUUCCUAGUGUAGCGGUGAAAUGCGUAGAUAUUAGGAGGAACACCAGUGGCGAAGGCGGCUUACUGGACAGAAACUGACGUUGAGGCUCGAAAGCGUGGGGAGCAAACA
rnacentral:rRNA from 1 species